UACGUAGGGUGCAAGCAUUAAUCGGAAUUAUUGGGCGUAUAGGGCGCGUAGGCGGAUCUAUAAGUCGGAUGUGAAAUCCUAGGGCUCAACCCUAGAACAGCAUCCGAAACUGUAAGUCUAGAGGGUAGGCGGAGAAAACGGAAUUCCACAAGUAGCGGUGAAAUGCGUAGAUAUGUGGAAAGAACACCUGUGGCGAAAAGCGGGUUUUUCUAGCUUAUUCCUGACGCUGAGGGCGCGAAAAGCAAGGGG
rnacentral:rRNA from 1 species